GAUGAACGCUGGCGGCGUGCCUAAUACAUGCAAGUCGAGCGAACGGACGAGAAGCUUGCUUCUCUGAUGUUAGCGGCGGACGGGUGAGUAACACGUGGAUAACCUACCUAUAAGACUGGGAUAACUUCGGGAAACCGGAGCUAAUACCGGAUAAUAUUUUGAACCGCAUGGUUCAAAAGUGAAAGACGGUCUUGCUGUCACUUAUAGAUGGAUCCGCGCUGCAUUAGCUAGUUGGUAAGGUAACGGCUUACCAAGGCAACGAUGCAUAGCCGACCUGAGAGGGUGAUCGGCCACACUGGAACUGAGACACGGUCCAGACUCCUACGGGAGGCAGCAGUAGGGAAUCUUCCGCAAUGGGCGAAAGCCUGACGGAGCAACGCCGCGUGAGUGAUGAAGGUCUUCGGAUCGUAAAACUCUGUUAUUAGGGAAGAACAUAUGUGUAAGUAACUGUGCACAUCUUGACGGUACCUAAUCAGAAAGCCACGGCUAACUACGUGCCAGCAGCCGCGGUAAUACGUAGGUGGCAAGCGUUAUCCGGAAUUAUUGGGCGUAAAGCGCGCGUAGGCGGUUUUUUAAGUCUGAUGUGAAAGCCCACGGCUCAACCGUGGAGGGUCAUUGGAAACUGGAAAACUUGAGUGCAGAAGAGGAAAGUGGAAUUCCAUGUGUAGCGGUGAAAUGCGCAGAGAUAUGGAGGAACACCAGUGGCGAAGGCGACUUUCUGGUCUGUAACUGACGCUGAUGUGCGAAAGCGUGGGGAUCAAACAGGAUUAGAUACCCUGGUAGUCCACGCCGUAAACGAUGAGUGCUAAGUGUUAGGGGGUUUCCGCCCCUUAGUGCUGCAGCUAACGCAUUAAGCACUCCGCCUGGGGAGUACGACCGCAAGGUUGAAACUCAAAGGAAUUGACGGGGACCCGCACAAGCGGUGGAGCAUGUGGUUUAAUUCGAAGCAACGCGAAGAACCUUACCAAAUCUUGACAUCCUUUGACAACUCUAGAGAUAGAGCCUUCCCCUUCGGGGGACAAAGUGACAGGUGGUGCAUGGUUGUCGUCAGCUCGUGUCGUGAGAUGUUGGGUUAAGUCCCGCAACGAGCGCAACCCUUAAGCUUAAUUGCCAUCAUUAAGUUGGGCACUCUAAGUUGACUGCCGGUGACAAACCGGAGGAAGGUGGGGAUGACGUCAAAUCAUCAUGCCCCUUAUGAUUUGGGCUACACACGUGCUACAAUGGACAAUACAAAGGGCAGCGAAACCGCGAGGUCAAGCAAAUCCCAUAAAGUUGUUCUCAGUUCGGAUUGUAGUCUGCAACUCGACUACAUGAAGCUGGAAUCGCUAGUAAUCGUAGAUCAGCAUGCUACGGUGAAUACGUUCCCGGGUCU
rnacentral:rRNA from 1 species